rnacentral:rRNA from 1 species
AGUGGCGGACGGGUGAGUAACGCGUGAGAAUCUGCCUUGGGGUCGGGGACAACCACUGGAAACGGUGGCUAAUACCGGAUAAGCCGAUUGGUGAAAGAUUUAUUGCCCGAAGAGGAGCUCGCGUUUGAUUAGCUAGUUGGUGAGGUAAGAGCUCACCAAGGCAGCGAUCAGUAGCUGGUCUGAGAGGACGAUCAGCCACACUGGGACUGAGACACGGCCCAGACUCCUACGGGAGGCAGCAGUGGGGAAUUUUCCGCAAUGGGCGAAAGCCUGACGGAGCAAGACCGCGUGAGGGAGGAAGGCUCUUGGGUUGUAAACCUCUUUUCUCUGGGAAGAAGCUCUGACGGUACCUGAGGAAUCAGCCUCGGCUAACUCCGUGCCAGCAGCCGCGGUAAUACGGAGGAGGCAAGCGUUAUCCGGAAUUAUUGGGCGUAAAGCGUCCGCAGGUGGCGAUUCAAGUCUGCUGUCAAAGCACGGGGCUUAACUCCGUAAAGGCAGUGGAAACUGAAUAGCUAGAGUGCCGUAGGGGUAGAGGGAAUUCCCGGUGUAGCGGUGAAAUGCGUAGAGAUCGGGAAGAACAUCGGUGGCGAAAGCGCUCUACUGGACGGCAACUGACACUCAGGGACGAAAGCUAGGGGAGCGAAUGGGAUUAGAUACCCC